CUGAACUCAGGCGUGAUUACCCGCUGAACUUAACAUAUCACUACU
rnacentral:rRNA from 1 species